rnacentral:tRNA from 1 species
GCGGUAGUAGCUCAGUUGGUAGAGCGCGUCCUUGCCAAGGAUGAGGUCGCCAGUUCAAAUCUGGUCUACCGCU